AUCCAAAAAUGAGAUUAUUAAACUUCAUGUAUUAUUGAUGAGCGUCUAUUUCUUUUAUCAUUAUGAUUAAUUUCGACGUUCAGCCUUUGUCAAAAAGCCAAGCUAGGCCAUCGCCAUUGUUCACUUGGGAUCUAAACGUGUAAGAGACCAAAUGCUAAACCAUUAUGAGCGCAUUUUUUGAAAGAUCAGAGGAAACCGAGAUGAAUUUCAUUUGCGUGGCCAAAGCCGUGUGCCUUUAUCACAACGAGACAACUGAAGCACCUAACGACCACUUUGACCAAUGAUCCGUGAUAAGUAAACAAUUCACCAGCUCGAUAAAAUGAUUGUAACUAGAGUCAAUCAAACUGAAUUGUGUUAAACCAUGAUGCAGCAAAAUCUUAGUGACUUAAUCGACACGUUUAUCCGUUAAUACCCUUUUUGUAAUGCAAAAUAAUGAUUGGUCUUUCAUCUGAUCCAAGCCAUCACAAAUACUGUACCAUGCGUGCACAUAAAGGAGUAAAUUGACUAAGACUUUGCCUGGUUUCAAAACCUCUUAAGAAAUAUUUAUCACUCUAUGUUGCAAUUAAAAAUUUGUAGUUUUAAGCUGCUUUUGAAGGCGGACGAGGAAAUAUUUGGUUAGUAAACUUAAUUACUUUUGAGAUUUAUUAGUUUUGUGCAUCCAAAAUUGUAUAACGCCUUAUUCCAAUUGUUCACGCGAGUGAGUCAAUACAUGUUAUUAGCACUGGAGACAAAGCUGGGUAGUCUCGUUCCUUUCUCCUCUCUUCCGUUCAGAGCCAGUCUCGGAAAUUGGAUUUGGGUAAAUAAAGUGAAUGGGAUUAAUUAGAUAGGCAGGGUCAAAACGAAUUUAGAGUUUCUUCAAUUUUCUCCCGAUCAAAUCAGAUACAGAAGAAUGAUGUAAACAACUAACAAACAAAGGGCAAGCGGAAAAUAUACACUUGUAACGCGUAACACUUCCACUUGGAUCUGCUGUACUAGUGGAAUCAGACACGGAAAGUACAACCGCUAUUACACUGGCAAGCGUUUUUUGGGACAAGGUUUUGUUUCUACAAGUUUUCUCUGCUGUGCAGCCUGAUGGAGGUAGAGUUCUUUGGAGGUGGCCAAGGGUACUUUGAAAAACUGCGAGUUUUGGGCAGGACUGAGGGUUCAACAUUUUCAAGCUGCACGAGGUGUUCCCGCGUCUUUGUGUCGAGGUUAUUCGAUACGGUGCCGGACGUGUUUCGAGCAAGACCACAUGGAACAGCUGUCUAACACGUGCUGAACACAUGGCGUUCUAAGUUUCAUUGUCGUGGAAACUUAACGCGGAGUAAAUAAAUACAUUUAAGUGUCUGG
rnacentral:lncRNA from 1 species